GAAAUUAGAGUAGAGUCGAGUAGACACUUGCUAGAAUGUCUCGAAGAUUUUAUGGGUAUAUCUUCUGUAAACCCUUAGGAGACAAAACUCCUCUUGUAGAGAUCGUCUACGAGUUUAACGGGUUGGUGAACCUAAAAUCACCCGUCACGCCUACGAAAAGGAGCCUAGGAAUCGCAUUUAGUUUUCUUAGUUUAUUUCUUUUCUUUUGAUUUUUACUCGAGGACGAGCAAAAGAUAGGUAUGGGGAAGUUUGAUUAGUCCAUAUUUUUGCAUAUUUAAAUGCCUAUUUUUUGUUUAUUUUCGUAGUAUUAAUCGCUUAUUUAUUUUAUUUCAGGAAAUUGUAGAUAAAUAAAGAAAGAAGAGAAAAUGCAAGAAAAAGGGAGAAAAAGAAAAGAAAAGAAGAAAAUCAAAGAGAGUUGGCAAGCAAGGGGGCACAUGGAUGGCUAUGAUUUACCCAACACACAUCACACAUGGAUGGAUUAGAUUUAGCCACCCUACCCCUAAACCCUACAUUUCUAGCUAUAAAUACCCCCACCCCCUUUACUUGUAAUCAUAAUCUUUUUAACCUAGUCUUUUCCUAGUUGGUAGGUAGUAUAGUG
rnacentral:lncRNA from 1 species